rnacentral:lncRNA from 1 species
UCCACCAUUGUGAUUUGUUCCUGCCCCACCCUAACUGAUCAAUGUACUUUGUAGUCUCCCCCACCCUUAAGAAGGUUCUUUGUAAUUCUCCCCACCCUUGAGAAUGUACUUUGUGAGAUCCACCCCUGCCCACCAGAGAGCAACCCCCUUUGACUGUAAUUUUCCAUUACCUUCCCAAAUCCUAUAAAACGGCCCCACCCGUAUCUCCCUUCGCUGACUCUCUUUUCGGACUCAGCCGGCCUGCACCCAGGUGAAAUAAACAGCCAUGCUUCUCACACAAAGCCUGUUUGGUGGUCUCUUCACACAGACGCGCAUGAAAUUUGGUGCCGUGACUCGGAUCGGGGGACCUCCCUUGGGAGGUCAAUCCCCUGUCCUCCUGCUCUUUGCUCCGUGAGAAAGAUCCACCUACCACCUCAGGUCCUCAGUCCAACCAGCCCAGGAAACAUCCCACCAAUUUCAAAUCCGACCCAUCUGACCUCUCCCCUCCUCGCCAGCCCAAGCUAAGUCCCAAUUCUUCCUCAGCCUCUGCUCCUGCAUCCUGUCAUUUUUUUAUCGCCUCCCCUCCUCACACCUGGUCCGGCUUACAGUUUCGUUCCGUGACUAGCCCUCCCCCUCCUGCCCAGCAAUUUACUCUUAAAAAGGUGGCUGGAGCCAAAGGCAUAGUCGAGGUUAAUGCUCCUUUUUCUUUAUCCCAAAUCAGAAGCGUUUAGGCUCUUUUUCAUCAAAUAUAAAAACCCAGCCCAGUUCAUGACUUGUUUGGCAGUAACCCUGAGACACUUUACAGCCCUAGACCCUAAAAAGUCAAAAGGCCGUCUUAUUCUCAAAAUAUAUUUUAUUACCCAAUCUGCUCCCGACAUUAAAUAAAACUCCAAAAAUUAAAUUCCGGCCCUCAAACCCCACAACAGGACUUAAUGAACCUCGCCUUCAAGGUGUACAAUAAUAGAAAAAAGUUGCAAUUCCUUGCCUCCACUGUGAGACAAACCCCAGCCACAUCUCCAGCACACAAGAACUUCCAAAUGCCUGAACCGCAGCGGCCAGGCGUUCCUCCAGAACCUCCUCCCCCAGGAGCUUGCUACACGUGCCGGAAAUCUGGCCACUGGGCCAAGGAAUGCCCGCUGCCCGGGAUUCCUCCUAAGCCGCGUCCCAUCUGUGUGGGACCCCACUGAAAAUCGGACUGUUCAACUCACCUGGCAGCCACUCCCAGAGCCCCUGGAACUCUGGCCCAAGGCUCUCUGACUGACUCCUUCCCAGAUCUUCUCGGCUUAGCGGCUGAAGACUGACGCUGCCCGAUCGCCUCGGAAGCCCCGUAGACCAUCACGGACGCCGAGCUUCGGGUAACUCUCACAGUGGAAGGUAAGUCCGUCCCCUUCUUAAUCAAUACGGAGGCUACCCACUCCACAUUAUCUUCUUUUCAAGGGCCUGUUUCCCUUGCCUCCAUAACUGUUGUGGGUAUUGACGGCCAGGCUUCAAAACCCCUGAAAACUCCCCCACUCUGGUGCCAACUUAGACAACACUCUUUUAUGCACUCUUUUUUAGUUAUCCCCACCUGCCCAGUUCCCUUAUUAGGCCGAGAUACUUUAACCAAAUUAUCUGCUUCCCUGACUAUUCCUGGACUACAGCCGCAUCUCAUUGCCGCCCUUCUCCCCAGCCCAAAGCUUCCUUCACGUCUUCCUCUCGUAUCCCCCCACCUUAAGCCACAAGUAUGGGACAUCUCUACUCCUUCCCUGGCAACUGAUCACAUGCCCAUUACCAUCCCAUUAAAACCUAAUCACCCUUACCCCGCUCAACGCCAAUAUCCCAUCCCACAGCAUGCUUUAAAAGGAUUAAAGCCUGUUAUCACUCGCCUGCUAUAGCAUGGGCUUCUAAAACCUAUAAACUCUCCUUACAAUUCCCCCAUUUUACCUGUCCGAAAACCGGAUAAGUCUUACAGAUUAGUUCAGGAUCUGCGUCUUAUCAACCAAAUUGUUUUGCCAUCCACCCUGUGGUGCCCAACCCGUACCCUCUUUUGUCCUCAAUCCGUUCCUCCACAACUCACUAUUCUGUUCUCCAUCUUAAAGAUGCUUUUUUCACUGUUCCCCUGCACCCCUCGUCCCAGCCUCUCUUUGCUUUCACUUAGACUGACCCUGACACCCAUUAGGCUCAGCAAAUUACCAAGGCUGUACUGCUGCAAAGCUUCACAGACAGCCCCCAUUACUUCAAUCAAGCACAAAUUUCUUCCUCAUCUGUUACCUAUCUCGGCAUAAUUCUCAAAAACACACGUGCUUUCCCUGCCAAUCGUGUCCGACUGACCUCUCAAACCCCAGCACCUACAAAACAACAACUCCUUUCCUUCCUAGGCAUGGUUAGCGUGGUCGGAAUUCUUACACAAGAGCCAGGACCACACCCUGUAGCCUUUCUGUCCAAACAACUUGACCUUACUGUUUUAACCUAGCCCUCAUGUCUGCGUGCAGCGGCUGCUGCUGCUUUAAUACUUUUAGAGGCCCUCAAAAUCACAAACUUUAUCAGUCCUCCAGGCCCAAGUUGACUCUUUAGCUGCAGUUGUCCUCCAAAACCACCGAGGCCUUGACUGACUUACUGCUGAAAAAGGAGGACUCUGCAUAUUCUUAAAUGAGGAGUGUUGUUUUUACCUAAAUCAAUCUGGCCUGGUGUAUGACAACAUAAAAAAACUCAAGGAUAGAGCCCAAAAACUUGCCAACCAAGAAAGUAAUUACGCUGAACCCCCUUGGGCACUCUCUAAUUGGAUGUCCUGGGCCCUCCCAAUUCUUAGUCCUUUAAUACCCAUUUUUCUCCUCCUUUUCUUCAGACCUUCUAUCUUCCGUUUAGCUUCUCAGUUCAUUGAAAACCGUAUCCAGGCCAUCACCAAUCAUUCUAUACGACAAAUGUUUCUUCUAACAUCCCCACAAUAUCACCCCUUACCACAAGACCUCCCUUCAGCUUAAUCUCUCCCACUCUAGGUUCCCACGCCGCCCCUAAUCCCGCUCGAAGCAGCCCUGAGAAACAUCGCCCGUUCUCUCUCCAUACCACCCCCCAAAAAUUUUCGCCGCUGCAACACUUCAACACUAUUUUGUUUUAUUUGUCUUAUUAAUAUAAGAAGGCAGGAAUGUCAGGCCUCUGAGCCCAGGCCAGGUCAUCGCAUCCCCUGUGACUUGCACGUAUACAUCCAGAUGGCCUGAAGUAACUGCAGAUCCACAAAAGAAGUAAAAACAGCCUUAACUGGUGAUAUUCCACCAUUGUGAUUUGUUCCUGCCCCACCCUAACUGAUCAAUGUACUUUGUAGUCUCCCCCACCCUUAAGAAGGUUCUUUGUAAUUCUCCCCACUCUUGAGAAUGUACUUUGUGAGAUCCACCCCUGCCCACCAGAGAACAACCCCCUUUGACUGUAAUUUUCCAUUACCUUCCCAAAUCCUAUAAAACGGCCCCACCCCUAUCUCCCUUCGCUGACUCUCUUUUCGGACUCAGCCGGCCUGCACCCAGGUGAAAUAAACAGCCAUGCUGCUCACACAAAGCCUGUUUGGUGGUCUCUUCACAUGGACACGCAUGAAACCUACUGUGUACUUUGCUUUCUUUGCUCUUGGUGAUUCCCCAAAAAACUUAUCUCAACAUAUAAGGAUUUUUCUUUUCUUUUUUUUUUUUUGUUUGAGACGGAGUCUCGCUCUGUCGCCCAGGCUGGAGUACAGCGGCGCGAUCUCGGCUCACUGCAAGCUCCGCCUCCCGGGUUCACGCCAUUCUCCUGCCUCAGCCUCCGGAGUAGCUGGGACUACAGGCGCCCGCUGCCACGCCCGGCUAAUUUUUUUGUAUUUUUAGUAGAGAUGGGUUUCACCGUGUUAGCCAUAAUGGUCUCAAUCUCCUGACCUCAUGAUCCGCCUGCCUUGGCCUCCCAAAGUGCUGGGAUUACAGGCGUGAGCCACCGCGCCCGGCUGUUUUUUUUUUUUUUUACUUGCCUUUUUCCAAAUGAGAAAACCAAGGCUCAGAGAGGUCAGUGGUGCAAUCUCGGCUCACAGCAACUUCCGCCUCCCGGGUUCAAGGGAUUCUAGUGCCUCAGCCUCCCAAGUACCUGGGAUCACAGGCAUCCGCCAUCACACCCAGCUAAUUUUUGUAUUUUUAGUAGAGACAGGGUUUCGCCAUGUUGUCCAGGCUGGUCUCGAGCUCAUGACCUCAGGUGAUCCGCCCACCUUGGCAUCCCAAACUGCUGGGGUAGGAUUUUCUUUUUUACUUCCCUUUUUCCAAAUGAGAAAACCAAGGCUCAGAGAGGAAGAGCGUGUUGCCCCAAGUGGCCCAGCAGAGCCACAGCCUUGCCCCCAGCAGCUCUGGCUCUAAUGCAUUCCAGACUCCUCCCAUCAGCCAACUGCCUCCCAUCCUCUAAUAAACUUCUGAGAAGCGCUGGGCAGAUGCAGUGG